rnacentral:rRNA from 1 species
AGUAUAAAUGCCUUUAUACUGUGAAACUGCGAAUGGCUCAUUAAAACAGUUAUAAUUUAUUUGAUGGUACCUGCUACAUGGAUAACCGUAGUAACCUAGAGCUAAUACAUGCGCCAAGGCCGCGCUCGCGGCUGCAUUUAUUAGAUACAAAACCCUCCGCUUCGGCGCUGACGGUGAGUCAUGGUAACUGUGCGGAUCGCACGGCCUCGGCCGGCGACGGAUCAUUCAAAUUUCUGCCCUAUCAACUUUGGAUGGUAGGGUCGUGGCCUACCAUGGUCUUGACGGGUGACGGGGAAUUAGGGUUCGAUUCCGGAGAGGGAGCCUGAGAAACGGCUACCACAUCCAAGGAAGGCAGCAGGCGCGCAAAUUACCCAAUCCUGACUCAGGGAGGUAGUGACAAGAAAUAACAUGCGGCUGCCCGAAGGGCAGGCGUCUUGGAAUGAGUGCAGUGUAAAGGCCUGCACGAGGGGCAACUGGAGGGCAAGUCUGGUGCCAGCAGCCGCGGUAAUUCCAGCUCCAGUAGCGUAUACUAAAGUUGUUGCAGUUAAAAAGCUCGUAGUCGAAGCUGUUGCGGGCGGCGGGCGCGCGCGGGGUUUUACCUCGGGCGACGUUUUCCUUUUGCCGCGCGCAUUUGAGAGUGCGGCUGUGGGCGCGGGGUUCUUCAGUGGACGCCGCGUUACUUUUUCGCAGCCGCCGUUUACCGUGAACAAAUUAGGGUGUUCAAAGCAGGCCGAAGCUGCCGUGAAUACGCGAGCAUGGAAUAAUAGAAGAGGACGUGGCUCCUAUUUUGUUGGUUUGUGGGCGCCGUGUGAUGAUGAACAGGGACGGUUGGGGGCAUUCGUAUUUCGGUGUCAGAGGUGAAAUUCUUGGAUUUCCGAAAGACGAACGGCUGCGAAAGCGUCUGCCAAGGACGUUUUCAUUGAUCAAGAACGAAAGUUAGGGGAUCGAAGACGAUCAGAUACCGUCGUAGUCUUAACCGUAAACGAUGCCGACCGGCGAUCGGCGCGAGGGCAAUGAGUCUCCUGCGUCGGCAGCCCGCGAGAAAUCCGAGUGUUUGGGUUCUGGGGGGAGUAUGGUCGCAAGGCUGAAACUUAAAGGAAUUGACGGAAGGGCACCACCAGGAGUGGAGCCUGCGGCUUAAUUUGACUCAACACGGGGAAGCUUACCAGGUCCAGACAUGGCGAGGAUUGACAGAUUGAGAGCUCUUUCUUGAUUCCAUGGGUGGUGGUGCAUGGCCGUUCUUAGUUGGUGGAGUGAUUUGUCUGGUUAAUUCCGUUAACGAACGAGACCUUGACUUGCUAACUAGGGCUUGUGCGCGGCGGGGGUUCUUUUUUUCCGCCGCGCCGCCUUCUUAGAGGGACGAUCCGCGGCGAUCAGCGGAUGGAGGUUCGAGGCAAUAACAGGUCUGUGAUGCCCUUUGAUGUUCUGGGCCGCACGCGCGCUACACUGACGCCGGCAGCGAGUGCCACCUUUUGUUCUGCGCCGAGCGGCGUGGGCAAGCUUUGCAACCGGCGUCGUGCUGGGGAUUGACCUUUGUAAUUAGCGGUCAUGAACGAGGAAUUCCUUGUAAGCGCGAGUCAUCAGCUCGCGUUGAAUACGUCCCUGCCCUUUGUACACACCGCCCGUCGCUCCUACCGAUUGAGUGGUCCGGUGAAGAACUUGGAUGGGUGCUUUUUCUUUUGGCGGCGACGCCGGGGGGGCGCGCAGAAGUUUUCU